GGAGGGUGCAAGCGUUGUUCGGAAUUAUUGGGCGUAAAGAGCGUGUAGGCGGUUCGGUAAGUCAGAUGUGAAAGCCCUGGGCUCAACCCAGGAAGUGCAUUUGAAACUACCAGACUUGAGUACGGGAGAGGAGGGGGGAAUUCCCGGUGUAGAGGUGAAAUUCGUAGAUAUCGGGAGGAAUACCAGUGGCGAAGGCGCCCUCUGGACCGAUACUGACGCUGAGACGCGAAAGCGUGGGGAGCAAACAGGAUUAGAUACCCUGGUAGUCCACGCCGUAAACGAUGAGCACUAGGUGUAGCGGGUAUUGACCCCCCUGCUGUGCCCGUAGCUAACGCAUUAAGUGCUCCGCCUGGGGGACUACGGUCGCAAGACUA
rnacentral:rRNA from 1 species